UGAGGAAUAUUGGUCAAUGGGCGCGAGCCUGAACCAGCCAAGUCGCGUGAGGGAAGAAUGGUCCAUGGCCUGUAAACCUCUUUUGUCAAGGAAGAAUAGACGGCACGCGUGCUGUUUUGCCAGUACUUGACGAAUAAGCAUCGGCUAACUCCGUGCCAGCAGCCGCGGUAAUACGGGGGAUGCGAGCGUUAUCCGGAUUUAUUGGGUUUAAAGGGCGCGUAGGCGGGACGCCAAGUCAGCGGUAAAAGACUGCAGCUAAACUGUAGCACGCCGUUGAAACUGGCGACCUUGAGACGAGACGAGGGAGGCGGAACAAGUGAAGUAGCGGUGAAAUGCUUAGAUAUCACUUGGAACCCCGAUAGCGAAGGCAGCUUCCCAGGCUCGAUCUGACGCUGAUGCGCGAGAGCGUGGGUAGCGAACA
rnacentral:rRNA from 1 species